UUUCCUCGAGUGAUUAGUACAAUUUUUAAACACACAAGAAGGCAUUAUUCACGUGGAAAGUAAAUGCAUCACGGCACGUCACUGCACCGCAAGGACCCGGUAAGGACUGACAACGUUGCGGUCCAGUGGACCGCAGUGCGUUGUGUAAAAAAUCUCUUAGCAACGUCGCCUCUAGUACGUAGUACAUAUACCUCAAUGCAUUUUAGGUUUUUGAA